AUUGAACGCUGGCGGCAUGCUUUACACAUGCAAGUCGAACGGUAACAGGCCUUCGGGUGCUGACGAGUGGGGAACGGGUGAGUAAUGCAUCGGAACGUACCCAGAGGUGGGGGAUAACGCAGCGAAAGCUGUGCUAAUACCGCAUGUGAUCUGAGGAUGAAAGCGGGGGACCGAGCAGCAAUGUUUGGCCUCGCGCCUUUGGAGCGGCCGAUGUCGGAUUAGCUAGUUGGUGGGGUAAAGGCCUACCAAGGCGACGAUCCGUAGCUGGUCUGAGAGGACGACCAGCCACACUGGGACUGAGACACGGCCCAGACUCCUACGGGAGGCAGCAGUGGGGAAUUUUGGACAAUGGGCGCAAGCCUGAUCCAGCAAUGCCGCGUGCGGGAAGAAGGCCUUCGGGUUGUAAACCGCUUUUGGCAGGAACGAAACGGUGUCCGCUAAUACCGGGCGCUAAUGACGGUACCUGCAGAAUAAGCACCGGCUAACUACGUG
rnacentral:rRNA from 1 species